GACGAACGCUGGCGGCGUGCUUAACACAUGUAAGUCGAACGGAAAGGCCCUGCUUUUGUGGGGUGCUCGAGUGGCGAACGGGUGAGUAACACGUGAGUAACCUGCCCUUGACUUUGGGAUAACUUCAGGAAACUGGGGCUAAUACCGGAUAGGAGCUCCUGCUGCAUGGUGGGGGUUGGAAAGUUUCGGCGGUUGGGGAUGGACUCGCGGCUUAUCAGCUUGUUGGUGGGGUAGUGGCUUACCAAGGCUUUGACGGGUAGCCGGCCUGAGAGGGUGACCGGCCACAUUGGGACUGAGAUACGGCCCAGACUCCUACGGGAGGCAGCAGUGAGGAAUAUUGCACAAUGGGCGGAAGCCUGAUGCAGCAACGCCGCGUGCGGGAUGACGGCCUUCGGGUUGUAAACCGCUUUCGCCUGUGACGAAGCGUGAGUGACGGUAAUGGGUAAAGAAGCACCGGCUAACUACGUG
rnacentral:rRNA from 1 species